CUUGUGAACAACAGAAACUCUACACUAAGAGGAGCGCCCCUGUGAUGCUUAUUAACCCUGUGGAUUUAACCACACUGAAGCAAGCCGGCGUCAGACCUCCACAGGAAACAUGGCAGGCUGUCAGCAGCAAAGCAAAGAAAGUCAGCCAAUUAAGCUACCCGCUUGACCUGGAACUAAAUCAGUACAGAAAAAAAAAAGGAAAAAAGAUUGGGUUCCAAGACAGGUUUUGCAAAUGCAAACUACGAUCAUACAAACAUUUUGUAACAAUAUUUUGUUGGCUUUUUCAGUCCUUUCUGUGGUAGCUUUGAAGAAUGGUGAAAAACUUGACAUUUCAUAUUUUAUGUGAAGUUACUUGAAUAAAUGUGACUUUCAUUGUAUUUCACUGAAAAACCCAAAACUCAUUAACUAGAUCUGUGUUGUCCUGUAUAUCCCUUGAUUAAACCCAGCUGUGUUCCUUUUUCUUUGUCAGGUCCUUGUCUGGUCUAAUGUCUUAAGUCUUGUGUCUAGUUGUCUAGUCUGUUUGUCUGUCUUGUCCAUUGUGAUUCCAGUUAAUGAGCCUUAACCUUCCGCUCUCUCUGUACUGCCUGGAUUUUGGACCAUGUAUUUUUUGAUUAUCAUUAAAAUCAUAAUUUCA